UACGGAGGGUGCAAGCGUUAAUCGGAAUUACUGGGCGUAAAGGGUGCGUAGGUGGUUUAGUAAGUUAGCUGUGAAAUUCCUGGGCUUAACCUAGGGUGGUCAGCUAAGACUGUUAGACUUGAGUAUAGGAGAGGGUAGUGGAAUUUCCGGUGUAGCGGUGAAAUGCGUAGAGAUCGGAAGGAACACCAGUGGCGAAGGCGGCUACCUGGCCUAAUACUGACACUGAGGCACGAAAGCGUGGGGAGCAAACAGG
rnacentral:rRNA from 1 species